UACAGAGGUCUCAAGCGUUGUUCGGAUUCAUUGGGCGUAAAGGGUGCGUAGGCGGCGCGGUAAGUCGGGUGUGAAAUCUCGGAGCUUAACUCCGAAAACUGCAUUCGAUACUGCCGUGCUUGAGGACUGGAGAGGAGACUGGAAUUUACGGUGUAGCGGUGAAAUGCGUAGAUAUCGUAAGGAAGACCAGUGGCGAAGGCGGGUCUCUGGACAGUUCCUGACGCUGAGGCACGAAGGCCAGGGGGAGCAAACGGG
rnacentral:rRNA from 1 species